rnacentral:rRNA from 1 species
UACGUAGGGGGCAAGCGUUGUCCGGAAUCAUUGGGCGUAAAGAGCGUGUAGGCGGCCCGAUAAGUCCGCUGUGAAAGUCCAGGGCUCAACCCUGGGAUGCCGGUGGAUACUGUCGGGCUCGAGUCCGGAAGAGGAGUGUGGAAUUCCUGGUGUAGCGGUGAAAUGCGCAGAUAUCAGGAGGAACACCAAUGGCGAAGGCAGCACUCUGGGACGUGACUGACGCUGAGACGCGAAAGCGUGGGGAGCAA